UACGUAGGGACCGAGCGUUGUCCGGAAUCAUUGGGCGUAAAGAGCGUGUAGGCGGCCUUUUAAGUCCUGCGUGAAAUCCUGCGGCUCAACCGCAGACGGUCGUGGGAAACUGGAAGGCUAGAGUCCGGAAGAGGAGAGUGGAAUUCCUGGUGUAGCGGUGAAAUGCGCAGAUAUCAGGAAGAACACCCGUGGCUAAGGCGGCUCUCUAGUACGGUACUGACGCUGAGACGCGAAAGCGUGGGGAGCGAACAGG
rnacentral:rRNA from 1 species